GAUGAACGCUAGCGGCAGGCCUAAUACAUGCAAGCUGAACGGCAAGAUUUGUAGCAAUACGAGUCCUAGAGUAGCGUAAGGGUGCGUAACACGUAUGCAAUCUGCCCGCAACAGGAGGAUAGCUUAGCGAAAGUUGAGAUAAGACUCCAUAAGAUCACGAGAGGGCAUCUGAUUGUGAUUAAACUACAAGGGGUUGCGGAUGAGCAUGCGUCUGAUUAGUUAGUUGGCGGGGUAACGGCCCACCAAGACGAUGAUCAGUAGGGGAACGUGAGAGGUU
rnacentral:rRNA from 1 species